AUUGCAGGAGGAAUACGGAGGUGGAUUUGCGGGAGGACACGGAGGUGGAUUCGGAGGUGGACGCGGAGGUGGAUUCGGAGGGUCCGGAGGUUAUGGCAGCAGAGGAUUCGGAGGAGGACAUGGAGGCUUCGGAGGAGGUUCCGGCGGCGGUCGUGGAGGAUAUGGAAAAUAGAUUGUGUCUUCUCGAGGACCUCUCACCAUCUUCACUUGAAAAUUUGGUUACUGUGGCUCUGUUUUUCUAUUAAAAUGAAAAAAAAAAUGAAAAUAAUUUUCUAUCAUUAUAAUCAAAAUAGUAUGAAUGAAAUAAACCAUUUUAAUUAUC
rnacentral:lncRNA from 1 species